rnacentral:rRNA from 1 species
UACGUAGGGGGCUAGCGUUGUUCGGAAUUACUGGGCGUAAAGCGCACGUAGGCGGACUGACAAGUCAGGGGUGAAAUCCCGGGGCUCAACCUCGGAACUGCCUCUGAUACUGUCAGUCUAGAGUCCGGAAGAGGUGGGUGGAAUUCCUAGUGUAGAGGUGAAAUUCGCAGAUAUUAGGAAGAACACCGGUGGCGAAGGCGGCCCACUGGUCCGGAACUGACGCUGAGGUGCGAAAGCGUGGGGAGCAAACAGG